UACAGAGGUCUCAACCGUUGUUCGGAUUCAUUGGGCGUAAAGGGUGCGUAGGCGGUCGCGCAAGUCGGAUGUGAAAUCUCGGGGCUCAACCCCGAAACUGCAUUCGAUACUGCGUGGCUAGAGUGCUGGAGGGGAGACUGGAAUUUACGGUGUAGCAGUGAAAUGCGUAGAUAUCGUAAGGAAGACCAGUGGCGAAGGCGGCUCACUGGCCCGGUACUGACGCUGAGGUGCGAAAGCGUGGGGAGCAAACAGG
rnacentral:rRNA from 1 species